UUUUGUUUGAUUCAAUCUCCACCUCCUCCCUACUACUACAACUCUCCACCUCCACCAAAGAAGUCUCCACCUCCUCCCUACUACUACAGUUCUCCACCUCCACCAAAGAAGUCUCUACCUCCGCCAUACCACUACAUAUCACCACCUCUACCGAAAAAGUCUCCACCUCCUCCCUACUACUAUAGCUGUCCACCUCUAUCUCCACCUCCUCCAUACUACUAAAGCUCUCUAUCUCCACCAAAGAAGUCUCCACCUCCUCCAUACUACUACUCAUCACCACCUCCACCAAAGAAAACUCCACCUCCUCCCUACUACUACAGCUCUCCACCUCCACCAAAGAAGUCUCCACCUCCGCCAUACCAUUACACAUCACCAUCUCCACUAAAGAAGUCUCCACCUCCUCCCUACUACUAUAGCUCUCCACCUCCACUAAUGAAGUCUCCACAUCCUCCAUACUAUUACUUAUCACCACCUCCACCAAAGAAAUCUCCACCUCCUCCCUACUACUACAACUCUCCACCUCUACCAAAGAAGUCUUCACCUCCGUCAUACCACUACACAUCACCAUCUCCACUAAAGAAGUCUCCACCUCCUCCCUACUACUAUAGCUCUCCACCUCCACCAAAGAAGUCUCCACCUCCUCCCUACUAUUAUAGCUCUCCACCUCCACCAAAUAAGUCUCCGCCUCCUCCAUACUACUACUCAUCACCACCUCCACCAAAGAAAUCUCCACCUCCUCCCUACUACUACAGCUCUCCACCUCCACCCAAAAAGUCACCACCUCCUCCAUACCACUACUCGUCCCCACCUCCUCCUAAAAAGUCUCCACCUCCCCCAUACUACUAUAACUCUCCACCUCCACCUUCUCUUUCACCACCACCUCCAUACCAUUACACAUCUCCUCCUCCAUCAAAGAAGUCUCCACCUCCUCCAUAUUAUUAUAACUCUCCACCUCCACCUUCUCCAUCACCGCCACCUCCUUACUAUUAUUCUUCCCCACCCCCUCCCAAACACUACUAAAAUGAAUCCAUUUGAAUUGUACCAAUAAAUUCUAUCCAUGUAUUGUUUUCGAAUUGAUUCCAUAUUUUUUUGUAUUACAAUAAGGAUAAAGUUUAAGAUUUAGAGUGAAUUUGUUCUGUAUUAAGCAGUGCUUGUUAUAUCAUUUCUCUGUAAUAAUAUGAAAGGC
rnacentral:lncRNA from 1 species